AGUGAACGCUGGCGGUAGGCCUAACACAUGCAAGUCGAACGGCAGCACAGUAAGAGCUUGCUCUUACGGGUGGCGAGUGGCGGACGGGUGAGGAAUACAUCGGAAUCUACUUUUUCGUGGGGGAUAACGUAGGGAAACUUACGCUAAUACCGCAUACGACCUACGGGUGAAAGCAGGGGAUCUUCGGACCUUGCGCGAUUGAAUGAGCCGAUGUCGGAUUAGCUAGUUGGCGGGGUAAAGGCCCACCAAGGCGACGAUCCGUAGCUGGUCUGAGAGGAUGAUCAGCCACACUGGAACUGAGACACGGUCCAGACUCCUACGGGAGGCAGCAGUGGGGAAUAUUGGACAAUGGGCGCAAGCCUGAUCCAGCCAUACCGCGUGGGUGAAGAAGGCCUUCGGGUUGUAAAGCCCUUUUGUUGGGAAAGAAAAGUAGCAGGUUAAUACCCCGCUGUUCGGACGGUACCCAAAGAAUAAGCACCGGCUAACUUCGG
rnacentral:rRNA from 1 species